rnacentral:lncRNA from 1 species
AAAAUGCUAUUAUAUGGCUCUAUACCUUGCUGGUAUAGAUAGGCUGUAUCAACUAUUUAUUAUGUUGAAUCAUAAGAAUUUGUUUUUAUAGGUCAAAAGUGACCAAAUAUCAGCAGUUUAUAUAGUCUGGGGAAAUUUGGAGACGAAGGUGACAUUCUGAAAAACAACUGGCCUGGACUCUUUUGAAAUGAUAAUAUUAUGAAAGACAAAAAAUAAAGGAAGAGAAGAGACAUCAACACACGGAAAGACAGCAGAAGAAUGCCAUGUUACAAUAGAGGCAAAGAUUGCAGAGAUGUGUCUAAUAACCAAGGAACACACCACGGAUUUUUGGCAACACCAGAAGCUAAGAGAAUAGGAGAGGUUCUCCCCUAGAAUCUCCAGAGAGGGGACGGCCCUACCAACACUUGAUUUUGGACUUCCAGCCUCCGGAACUGUCAUAAAAGGACAUUUAAUUACAUCAACUAGAGUCAUGCAAGAAGAGUGCACUCAUUUUGAAUCUAUAAAUGGAUAUGAGCUAAUUGGUCUAACUGGCUAAGAACCCAGUGCUAUUUAAAGUUACUACUUCUACAAAUCCAAACAGAAACAAGAUGUGGAGGAGUUAAAAGUAGAUGAACUUGUUUACCUGCAAAGAGCAGUUGUUCAUCAUAUGCCUCUUUACUUUUACCUGAGGAUUUUGUGAAAUAACAAUAAUAUUGAUGUUGCUGAAUGAUAACCUGAUAUUGAAGCAGCUUGGUAAUAUGAAAGAAACCAAAGCCACUGGAAACCAAACCCAAUGGACUAAAUAUCAGAAGAUGGAGAUUCUAUUUCUGACUUUGCCACUUACGUCAUAUCAAGGUAUCAUUGUCUGAAAAUGACCCGUGAGACUGCUAUUUUGGAGUCCUCAGGAUAUGCGGGCAAAAAGGACUGGCCAACAUGUUGGAAAUGGCAAAGCAUAAAGAAUUCCUGUAAAUGAUGAACUCUUGCCAUUGGAAUUGCACAGCCAUAGAACACGAACUGCCUGAGACAAGUCAGCCUCCACACCAAGCUCUGCCAGCAUGACUCAAUACCAUUCCCAAGAUAUCAAGCUGGAGGAAUUUAAUCUCUGUAUCCUUGGUCUCUAACCUUCCCGAAGAGAAUCUCUUUCAGCUUGUCAACAUCUUCACGGAUUAAUCAGGUCAACAGAGAUGAUAUGUUUUCAAUCAUUUAGCUAUAAUAGCCCACUCUGUUAUAACUUUUUUUUUUUAAGGUGUUCAGCAUGUAAGGGCCAAUUAUGUUGCUGGAACUUUUUUCAAAUUAUUACUUUCAAUAUUCUCAUCUACUAAAGUUGUAAUAAGAUUGGAAGCUUUAAAGAAGAAACUGUUCACUGACUGUGAUAAAAAAACAAAACAAACAAAACCCAAAAAUAAAUGUUUUCAGGACCAGCAAAAUGUUAUAGGCCCUUAUGUCCUGAAUUCCAAGUAGAUUUCAUUUUAAGUUUUUGCUAGGCAGAAAAAGAAAGAGAGUUACUAUUUAGUGCAAAUGAGUCUCUGGAGUAACCAAAUUCAUAUACAUUGCUAGUUGGGAUGUAGAGCAUGAUAGUUACCAUAGAAAAUAGUCUAAUGGUAUUAAUAUUUAGUAAAGAUGAGAAUGCUUAACUAUCCAACAAUUCAUUCAUAGGAUUGUAUCCUAAGGAAAAUCUCAAACAUGCAAACCAACAAGUAGGCAUAAGAAUGUUCACAGAAAUACUGUUGAUGACAGCAUAGAAUUAGGGACUACACCAAGACCUGUUAGCAAUAAAAUUGAUAAAAAGAAUUGUGGUGAAUUUAUAUGUUAGAAUCCUAGUAAGCAAUAAAAAUGAAAGAGCUACAGCUAAAAUUGGCAUGGAUCUACCUUGGAAUCACAAGAUAGAGGUGAAAAUGCGACAUGGAAGACUAUAAAAGAAAAAUUUUAUGUACAUAAAGUUUUAAGACAUGCAACAUUGAACAAUUCAUUGAUUAAGAAUACAGACAUAGGAGAUAAAAAUGGUUAUAUAUUUUAAAAAUACUGAUAAUGAGAAAGUUCAAGAUAUUAGUGAAUUUAUGGGAAAUGAAGGGAGAUGAUGGAACAAGGACAAGGCAAGCAGGGGCUUCCAAGUAGUGCUGGUGAUGCUUUAUUUCCUCAUCUGUGUGGUAGAUAUGGGAGUGGUUGAUUUAUGACUAUUUAUUAUACUUUAUAAUCUGUUAUAAGUAUUAUUUUAUAUGUAUCAAAUAUUACACUUAAAAUAAUUAAUAACAGAGUUAUAAAGAAGAGAAAGGAAGGAAGGGAGGGCGAAAGAAAGGAAAAACAUGGAAAAAUUAAAAGGGAAAAUAAUGACUAAGACAAAAUGAAAUGGUUAAGUGGUCUGAGCAAAAUGGACAUCUCAAAGAUAAAGUUGCAGAAAACAGAGAAAUGUUGAUCAUAAAGAUACAUUAACCAUAAGAUUAAAAUGAUGAUGAUGAUGAUGAUGGUGGUGGUGGUGGUGGUGGUGGUGAUGUCAUAGUAUCUAACAAUUAUGGAGUGGUUGUUAUUUUCCAGAUAAUAUUUUUAGUUUACAUCUAUUAACUCAUUUAAACAUUACAGUAACUUCAUGGGAUAGGUUUCACCACUAUUUUUAUUUUUUACGUUACUAAACUGAAGCAUAUAAAAUUCCAAUAAACUUGAAAAUGUUACACAUUUGGUAGGUAGCAGAGCAGAAAUAUUAAUUCCAUUCCAGGCAGGCUGAUUGCUUAACACCAUGCUAUCUAAAGUGUUCAAGAAUCAUGGUCCCCAGAUAAUGAGUGGCUGAUUCUUCUGACCCUAUCUCUCAAAGCCUCCAUGAACCACCCUCAGUCUUUCCUAAAGUACAACUACAUUGUUUAUGGGGAUUUUGCUGUUGUUUCAGGAGCUAUGUAAUUAAAAGUCUAUCUGAUUCUCUACUUUUACUUUUUAAGAAAUUCUGCAGUUUUCUGCUUCUUCUCAAGAGUAGUAGUCAUCCUUUAUGAGAUACUGAGCUUGGAACCUGUAGCAGAGGUAUCGGGUCACUUUUAUUAAAUGCAUUUUCACGCAUUACUGUUCUUCAGUUCCUUCAUAUUCUUUCCAAAGAAACAAUAAGUCUUAUGUGAUGCAUAGGAUUUUCCAUGCAUCAUGUAAUAUUUCAUUAAAGAAUAAAAUUGGGUAAUACCAUGUUCCAUAUUUUUCAGCUCAGUCUUAAUUGAAAACUGAUGGGGGGCAGUGCCAAGGUUAGAUAUUUGUACACAGAGAAAAUUACAUACUUACAAAGAAAAAUUUUAAGAAACUAUGUUUCUCCAAAAUGUCAUUAGAUAUUGUAACUAUCUCUUUUUUCUCAUAUCAUUGUGAUGAUCUUAUUCUAUGGAAUUAUAUAUGCUUAUUAAUAUUUUAUUGUUCCAGUUAAUAGAAGUCAUUGUAAAACAAAGUUAUCUAUGACUCACCAAGUUGGG